UGGGGAAUAUUGCACAAUGGGUGCAAGCCUGAUGCAGCCAUGCCGCGUGUAUGAAGAAGGCCUUCGGGUUGUAAAGUACUUUCAGCGAGGAGGAAGGCGUUGUGGUUAAUAACCGCAGCGAUUGACGUUACUCGCAGAAGAAGCACCGGCUAACUCCGUGCCAGCAGCCGCGGUAAUACGGAGGGUGCAAGCGUUAAUCGGCAUUACUGGGCGUAAAGCGCACGCAGGCGGUCUGUCAAGUCGGAUGUGAAAUCCCCGGGCUCAACCUGGGAACUGCAUCCGAAACUGGCAGGCUAGAGUCUUGUAGAGGGGGGUAGAAUUCCAGGUGUAGCGGUGAAAUGCGUAGAGAUCUGGAGGAAUACCGGUGGCGAAGGCGGCCCCCUGGACAAAGACUGACGCUCAGGUGCGAAAGCGUGGGGAGCAAACA
rnacentral:rRNA from 1 species